rnacentral:tRNA from 1 species
UAGCUGAUAUUUAAGCAGUUAAGGCAUGUAUGAGACUGCUUUGGGAGCAGGGGGUCGUGGGUUCGAAUCCCGUCGCCCCG